GGUGGCUUAGUGGUAUAGCACUUGCCUUGCAUGCAUGAGGCCUUGGGUUCAAUUCUUCAGCACCA
rnacentral:tRNA from 1 species